rnacentral:ncRNA from 1 species
GUAACAAGGUUUCCGUAGCCUCGAACCGCUAGGGGGAGAGGCGCGGGGCGAUCAAAAAUGAUCCUUCCAAUGGUGACGCCAUGGGAGCCUUAGCAGCCCGAAAGGGUGCGGGUCCGCGACUGAAAAUAAUGAGAUGCCCUGAAAUGCUAGUCAGUGUUGAAGAACACUGGCAACACCGUCAAAUUGCGGGAACCUCCUAAAGCCUUUCACUACCAAACAGCCACCGGGAAACCGGGCUGUGGCCAGGGUAAUGACCUCGGGUAUGGUAACAACGUGGAAGGAUGAGCUUCUGUUUCUCGGAGGCGAAAUGGACGAUCUGCAGCCAAGUCCUAAGGGUCCUUCGGGGUCACGGAUGCUGUUCACAGGCCAAAUGGUGGUGGGUGGACUUUCUCGAGUCUGCUUAAGAUAUGGUCGGGCCCCUAGGGAAACCUGGGGGGUAGUCACCGCACAGUCAAAUUGAGACGGGGAGCGUAGUUGUGCUCUCGGUCAUAGGCGGCUGUGCAACUGAAGAGCGCCGAAGUAAAGGCCUCGAAAUAGUGCGUGGGGA